GACGAACGCUGGCGGCGUGCUUAACACAUGCAAGUCGAACGGAAAGGCCCUGCUAUUGUGGGGUGCUCGAGUGGCGAACGGGUGAGUAACACGUGAGUAACCUGCCCUUGACUUUGGGAUAACUUCAGGAAACUGGGGCUAAUAUCGGAUAGGAGCUCCUGCUGCAUGGUGGGGGGUGGAAAGUUUCGGCGGUUGGGGAUGGACUCGCGGCUUAUCAGCUUGUUGGUGGGGUAGUGGCUUACCAAGGCUUUGACGGGUAGCCGGCCUGAGAGGGUGACCGGCCUCAUUGGGACUAAGAGACGGCCCAGACUGCUACGGGAGGCAGCGGUGGGGAAUAUUGUGCAAUGAGCGGAAGCCGGAUGCAGCGACGCUGCGUGCGGGAUGACGGCCUUCGGGGUGUAAACCGCUUUCGCCUGUGACGAAGCGUGAGUGACGGUAAUGGGUAAAGAAGCACCGGCUAACUACGUG
rnacentral:rRNA from 1 species